rnacentral:tRNA from 1 species
GCUCGGAUGGUGAAAUCGGUAGACACAAGGGACUUAAAAUCCCUUGCUCGCAAGGGCGUGACGGUUCGAGUCCGUCUCCGAGCA